GUAUAUGUAUAUGUAUAUAUGUAAGAUCACUUAUUGGGAUAAGUCUCUGAUGAUAGUGUUGAUGAUGAUAAUGAUGAUAUAUAUUGGUGUGUUUGUAUAAGGUGCCCACCUUAUACUAUACAUGUAAGUCGUGUCUCUAAAUUUCAUGGGAAGAUAUAGUUCUGAUGUUGGAAACUUUAUGAUGACUUGAAAAUCUAUGUUCAACGCUAAUUAUGAAACUUAAAAUUCAAAAGUUUGCAGAUCGAGCAGAUUUAUAAGUACUUCAAAAUCUUGGAAAUAGACAUCCCAAAUAAGUUGUUACAAGAUAUUCAACAAAUCCCUGCUGGCUAAGUUCGCAUGGGCCAUGGACGUUGAACCUGAUUACAGAUUCUGAUUGGUUAUGUCAACACACUAUCUCUCUCUCUCUCUCUCUCUCUCUCUCUCUCACACACACAAAUGUUGCGGCUUUAGGGUUAGGUGAAAUGAUUCUGAGUCUAUAAUGGGUUAUAUGCUAUAAUUCUUUCUCGGUAAGAGGAGAUUUCCUGUUGUACACGCCUCGGAUGACUGCUCAAUUGCAGUUCUGAGAAUGUAGCCAGAGAGAAAUCUCUCCUGGAAUGUGAUAUACAACAAGAAUUAGUGCAGGAGACUCAUAGUCUCGAAUAUUGGUUGAAUGCAGGUGCUUCUGUAUAAACAUAUUUCUUCUCAAUUCUGUGAGAUUGCCCA